CACACGGCGGGUGCUAACGUCCGUCGUGAAGAGGGAAACAACCCAGACCGCCAGCUAAGGUCCCAAAGUCAUGGUUAAGUGGGAAACGAUGUGGGAAGGCCCAGACAGCCAGGAUGUUGGCUUAGAAGCAGCCAUCAUUUAAAGAAAGCGUAAUAGCUCACUGGUCGAGUCGGCCUGCGCGGAAGAUGUAACGGGGCUAAACCAUGCACCGAAGCUGCGGCAGCGACGCUGAUGCGUUGUUGGGUAGGGGAGCGUUCUGUAAGCCUGCGAAGGUGUGCUGUGAGGCAUGCUGGAGGUAUCAGAAGUGCGAAUGCUGACAUAAGUAACGAUAAAGCGGGUGAAAAGCCCGCUCGCCGGAAGACCAAGGGUUCCUGUCCAACGUUAAUCGGGGCAGGGUGAGUCGACCCCUAAGGCGAGGCCGAAAGGCGUAGUCGAUGGGAAACAGGUUAAUAUUCCUGUACUUGGUGUUACUGCGAAGGGGGGACGGAGAAGGCUAUGUUGGCCGGGCGACGGUUGUCCCGGUUUAAGCGUGUAGGCUGGUUUUCCAGGCAAAUCCGGAAAAUCAAGGCUGAGGCGUGAUGACGAGGCACUACGGUGCUGAAGCAACAAAUGCCCUGCUUCCAGGAAAAGCCUCUAAGCAUCAGGUAACAUCAAAUCGUACCCCAAACCGACACAGGUGGUCAGGUAGAGAAUACCAAGGCGCUUGAGAGAACUCGGGUGAAGGAACUAGGCAAAAUGGUGCCGUAACUUCGGGAGAAGGCACGCUGAUAUGUAGGUGAAGUCCCUCGCGGAUGGAGCUGAAAUCAGUCGAAGAUACCAGCUGGCUGCAACUGUUUAUUAAAAACACAGCACUGUGCAAACACGAAAGUGGACGUAUACGGUGUGACGCCUGCCCGGUGCCGGAAGGUUAAUUGAUGGGGUUAGCGCAAGCGAAGCUCUUGAUCGAAGCCCCGGUAAACGGCGGCCGUAACUAUAACGGUCCUAAGGUAGCGAAAUUCCUUGUCGGGUAAGUUCCGACCUGCACGAAUGGCGUAAUGAUGGCCAGGCUGUCUCCACCCGAGACUCAGUGAAAUUGAACUCGCUGUGAAGAUGCAGUGUACCCGCGGCAAGACGGAAAGACCCCGUGAACCUUUACUAUAGCUUGACACUGAACAUUGAGCCUUGAUGUGUAGGAUAGGUGGGAGGCUUUGAAGUGUGGACGCCAGUCUGCAUGGAGCCGACCUUGAAAUACCACCCUUUAAUGUUUGAUGUUCUAACGUGGACCCGUAAUCCGGGUUGCGGACAGUGUCUGGUGGGUAGUUUGACUGGGGCGGUCUCCUCCUAAAGAGUAACGGAGGAGCACGAAGGUUGGCUAAUCCUGGUCGGACAUCAGGAGGUUAGUGCAAUGGCAUAAGCCAGCUUGACUGCGAGCGUGACGGCGCGAGCAGGUGCGAAAGCAGGUCAUAGUGAUCCGGUGGUUCUGAAUGGAAGGGCCAUCGCUCAACGGAUAAAAGGUACUCCGGGGAUAACAGGCUGAUACCGCCCAAGAGUUCAUAUCGACGGCGGUGUUUGGCACCUCGAUGUCGGCUCAUCACAUCCUGGGGCUGAAGUAGGUCCCAAGGGUAUGGCUGUUCGCCAUUUAAAGUGGUACGCGAGCUGGGUUUAGAACGUCGUGAGACAGUUCGGUCCCUAUCUGCCGUGGGCGCUGGAGAACUGAGGGGGGCUGCUCCUAGUACGAGAGGACCGGAGUGGACGCAUCACUGGUGUUCGGGUUGUCAUGCCAAUGGCACUGCCCGGUAGCUAAAUGCGGAAGAGAUAAGUGCUGAAAGCAUCUAAGCACGAAACUUGCCCCGAGAUGAGUUCUCCCUGACUCCUUGAGAGUCCUGAAGGAACGUUGAAGACGACGACGUUGAUAGGCCGGGUGUGUAAGCGCAGCGAUGCGUUGAGCUAACCGGUACUAAUGAACCGUGAG
rnacentral:rRNA from 1 species